rnacentral:rRNA from 1 species
AUCCAUGGCCAUGCCACCCUGAACAAGCCCGAUCCCAUCUGAUCUCAGAAGCUAAGCAGGGUUGGGUCUGGUUAGUACUAGGAUGGGAGACCACUUAGGAAGACCAGGUGCUGUAGGUG